rnacentral:tRNA from 1 species
GUGGCUUAGUGGUUAAGAGCACUGUCUACCCCCUCCAGAGGUCCUGGGUUCAAUUCCCAGC